rnacentral:rRNA from 1 species
UACGGGGGGGUAAGCGUUGUUCGGAAUUACUGGGCGUAAAGGGCUCGUAGGCGGCCAACUAAGUCGGACGUGAAAUCCCUCAGCUUAACUGGGGAACUGCGUCUGAUACUGGAUGGCUUGGAUUUGGGAGAGGGAUGCGGAAUUCCAGGUGUAGCGGUGAAAUGCGUAGAUAUCUGGAGGAACACCGGUGGCGAAGGCGGCAUCCUGGACCAACAUUGACGCUGAGGAGCGAAAGCCAGGGGAGCAAACGGG